rnacentral:misc_RNA from 1 species
GAGAACUGUUAUGCAUAAUUACAUAUUUCAAUGCAAGGUAUAAUAAGUUCAAUACGCAUAAUUCACAAAAACACACAUCACUGAAACGCAAAUAAAAUUAAGGGCAUCAAAAUCAAAUAAGCAAUUAACUCCAUAGUGAAGAUGUUGUAACAGUUUUAAGAUGACAGUCAGCAAACUAUCAUAUCUGCACACAGACACACACUAAC